UGCUAGGGGUGCGUAAGCUGAGAGUUCAGGGAAACCUGUUAACCCUUAUUACCUGAUCCGGAUAGUACCGGCGUAGGGAAGCGAUA
rnacentral:ncRNA from 1 species